rnacentral:rRNA from 1 species
GGCCCUGCUGUCUCCACUAGCUUCUCAGUGAAAUUGAAUUAGCCGUGCAGAUGCGGUUUGCCUUCCGGAGGACGCGAAGACCCUAUGCAGCUUUACUGUAUUCUGAUAUUGCCGUUUGUGAUAUAUAGUGUAGAAUACAAGGGAGUGAAAACAUCCGUGAAAUACCUUGAUAUAUUGAAAUGAAUGGCUUAUUUAUUAAAAGACAGUGUCAGAUGGUCAGUUUUACUGGGGCGGUAGCCUCUAAAAAAGUAUCAGAGGCCUUCAAAGGUAUAUUUAAAUUGGUCGGAAACCAAUGGAAUAAUAGUAUUCUAUCAAAAUGUAAUGAUAAAGUAUGCUUUACUGAAAGAUUGAUAAAUCGAUCAGUUACGCAAGUAGGAUAUAGUGAUCCGAUGAUUCAGAAUGGAAUGAUCAUCGCUCAAGAAAUAAAAGUUACGCUAGGGAUAACAGGUU